AAAAAAAGGGAAAAAAGGCUAGAAACUGUAUGGUAGAAGCUGGAACGAGGAGUUUGGCUUCCUACAAGAAUUGUUUCUAUUUUCCCUGGUUGAAAUAUAUUCAGAGGGAUCCGGAUAUCAAAGGAGUUUAGAUUCUUCGUCGGAAUCGUGGAUAGCAUAUCCGGGCUUCUUAAUCUAUUGCUCACAAAAUGAGUGAAGGUGGAGGAUCAAGGGUCAUUAUGGUGACCAAUAUUGCACCACAGGCCACUAGAGAUCAAAUGCAAACGCUUUUUUCUUACAUCGGCCGCAUUGAUGAUAUUCGCUUAUAUCCAAGUGUAAGGGACGCUUCAUUAUCGAUUACUUCCCGUGUUUGUUUUGUGAAAUUUUCCGAUACUGGCGCAGCAUCCAUAGGAACCCACCUGAAUAAUACUGUAUUUAUUGAUAGAGCUAUCAUAGUGACUCCUGUUAGAGAUGGAUUGGUUCCUGAUGAAGCUGAGGGUCUGAAUGCUGCUAAUAGUUCCAACAAUAACAAAUUUUCCGAAUCUAAAUUUCCUCCCAACAUGACGAAUUCUUAUCAAGGAAACCUUGUUUUUACUGGGGACACCUUGCUUGAUAGUGCAGGUCUUCCAGGAUAUCCUCCAAUGCCAGCCUCUACAUCAACUGCAAUCCUUGAAGAAUUAAGAAGAACAGUGACGGUUUCAUAUAUAGAUCCAACUGUCCCUGCUCAACAGUGCAUGGAAUUUUUUUCAAAAGAAGCUGGCGAAGUUAAAUAUUUCCGCUACUCUACACGAGAAAAUGAUCCAGUUAAAUAUGCCUUGAUUGAAUUUUCAAAUCAAAGUUCCGUUAUUGCAGCGCUACUCAUGAACGAUCAAGAGCUAGGAUCCAGUCGCAUUAAGGUUACUCAUGCCACAACCUCGAUUAUCAAACCAACCACAAAAACUAAUGAAGACGCUCAGAAAGAAAUAGAAGAGGCUCUGUCCAGAGUUAAGGAGGCUCAAAGUUUAGUAGCUGCAACUGUUGAUCCGCUUAUGGGUAUGCUUGGUGGAUCCACUACUUCGAUUACUGGUGGUGGUAUAAGCUCUGCACUUGCUCGAGCCUCAAGAUCUCGUUCUAGAAGUAGACGGAGGUCUCGUUCUAGGGGUAGAUCUGUCUAUAGCACUCGCAGGAGUAGGAGUCGUUCACGUCAUCGUAGACGAAGUCGUAGUAGAAGACGAAAGAGAUCACGUUCCAAGCGAAGAAGAUCCAGAUCGAAGGAACGUAGAUCUCGUUCCAAAGACAAGCGUUCUCGCUCUAGAGAUAAACGCUCACGUUCUAAGGAUAGAAACGGUCACGAUGAUCGACGAAAAAGUAGAUCCCGGUCUAAAAGUAGGGAACGAAAAGUGCGAUCUAAAAGUUGGGAGAGGAAAAAAUCUAGGUCUCGAAGCCGUGAUCGUAAAAGAUCUCGCUCAAUAAGUCGUAAGCGAUCUAGAUCUCGGAGUAGAGAUAAAAUUCGUCGCUCUAAAUCCCACAAAAGGAGGUCAAGAUCAAGAGAAAAAAGGAAAAGAUCCAAGGAUAGAAAGUCUUCCCGACGUUCAAGGUCGAGAUCUAAAAAGAAGGACAGAAGGAGAUCUCACAGUAGGGAUAAAUCGGAUACUAAUGGUUCUUCCAAGAAAGAAAAUAGAAUAUCCAGAGAUUAUGAUGAAGAAGAGAUGGGAUAUCAUGAGGAUUACAUGAAAGAAGAUGUUAAAAUUUCUAAGCAUGAUAGAGAAGAAAAUUUUGGUACACAAGAUAUGGAAAUAUCUAACUCUCCAUGAUCAUAAUUGAAUACAUGUUUACUAUUCAUAUUCUAUCAUUAUGAGUCACAACCUCCUUUGCCUAAUGCAUUCAUGAUGUGAUAUUUUUUUUCACUAUUGCAAAGAUUGCUUUCCACUUUAGUAAAAUUUGCAUGGGUCUUAAAUAUUAUUGCAGAAAAACAAGGCAAAACUACCUAUUAUAUCUACUAUAUAUGAUAUAUCAUUUUAACAAUUUUUUUUAAAGUAUUCAAUGUGUUACAUUUUGAAUUUUCAAAUGUUUUUUUUUUUUGUUUUUUUCUCACUCUUUCUCUCGAUAUGUUGUAAUUUUUUCUCUUUUUUUUUUUUUGCUCUUAUUUUUUUCAGUGACGAUCCAACACCUCACGGACAUUUAACAUAUGCGAAUUGGAAGCCCUUCGACCACUUCUGAAGGUUUAAAAACAAGAGAGAGAGGGCAUCAUCUCGUUCAUUAUUAAUACAACUACUUAUCACUAUUGAGAACAUCAUUUCUCAGCUCUACCUUAUUAUUAUUUAGAGGUUCAUAACAUGCCUAAGUGUGUUGUUGUUGUUGUUCCCUUCAUUGCAUACACUUGAGAAUUAAAAUAAAAAACGGAUUUCUAAAAAUUA
rnacentral:misc_RNA from 1 species